GACGGACGCUGGCGGCAUGCCUAACACAUGCAAGUCGAACGGAGAAUGUCAAAUGAAGUUUUCGGAUGGAUUUUGAUAUUCUUAGUGGCGGACGGGUGAGUAACGCGUGAGCAACCUGCCUUUCAGUGGGGGACAACAGUUGGAAACGACUGCUAAUACCGCAUAAUGUUAUUUAGGGGCAUCCCUGAAUAACCAAAGCUUUAUGUGCUGAAAGAUGGUCUCGCGUCUGAUUAGCUAGAUGGCGGGGUAACGGCCCACCAUGGCGACGAUCAGUAGCCGGUCUGAGAGGAUGAACGGCCACAUUGGGACUGAGAUACGGCCCAGACUCCUACGGGAGGCAGCAGUGGGGAAUAUUGGGCAAUGGGGGAAACCCUGACCCAGCAACGCCGCGUGAAGGAAGAAGGGCCUUCGGUUGUAAACUUCUUUACCUAGGACGAACACAAUAGACGGUACCGUACGG
rnacentral:rRNA from 1 species